rnacentral:rRNA from 1 species
GAGGAAANNNAACCAACCGGGAUUGCCUCAGUAACGGCGAGUGAAGCGGCAAGAGCUCAAAUUUGAAAGCUGGCCCCUCCGGGGUCCGCAUUGUAAUUUGCAGAGGAUGCUUCGGGCUCAGCCCCCGUCUAAGUGCCCUGGAACGGGCCGUCGGAGAGGGUGAGAAUCCCGUCUGGGACGGGGUGCCUGGGUCCAUGUGAAGCUCCUUCGACGAGUCGAGUUGUUUGGGAAUGCAGCUCUAAAUGGGUGGUAAAUUUCAUCUAAAGCUAAAUACUGGCCGGAGACCGAUAGCGCACAAGUAGAGUGAUCGAAAGAUGAAAAGCACUUUGAAAAGAGAGUUAAACAGCACGUGAAAUUGUUGAAAGGGAAGCGCUUGCGAUCAGACUCGCCUGCGGGGUUCAGCCGGCAUUCGUGCCGGUGUACUUCCCCGUGGGCGGGCCAGCGUCGGUUCGGGUGGCCGGUCAAAGGCCCCGGGAAUGUGUCGCCCUCCGGGGCGUCUUAUAGCCCGGGGUGCCAUGCGGCCUACCUGGACCGAGGAACGCGCUUCGGCUCGGACGCUGGCGUAAUGGUCGUAAGCGACCCGUCUUGAAACACGGACCAAGGAGUCUAACAUCUACGCGAGUGUUUGGGUGGCAAACCCAUACGCGCAGUGAAAGCGAACGGAGGUGGGAACCCUUCGGGGCGCACCAUCGACCGAUCCUGAUGUCUUCGGAUGGAUUUGAGUAAGAGCGUAGCUGUGGGGACCCGAAAGAUGGUGAACUAUGCCUGAAUAGGGCGAAGCCAGAGGAAACUCUGGUGGAGGCUCGCAGCGGUUCUGACGUGCAAAUCGAUCGUCAAAUUUGGGUAUAGGGGCGAAAGACUAAUCGAACCAUCUGGUAG